AUGGCUACACAACCUCUCAAGGUUCUGGUGUGGAACGUACGGGGCCUCAACUCCCCGGCACGGUGCAACACAGUCUUUGAAGUAGUGGCGGCGGCUAGGUCGAGCAUCGUUUGUUCCUAGGAAACUAAAUUGGAGUCCAUCUCGGUUGAUCUUGUAAGGCAUUGCUUGGGUAACAAGUAUGAAAACUUUUAUUACUUGCCUGCUCUGGGCACGCGUGGGGGCAUCCUUAUAGCUUGGGAUGCUUUACUCGCCUCUUUGUCAUGCCCGCAUCGUACGCGCAAUACCCUAACAGUGCUGGUUAAGCCAGUAGGGGACACCCGAAUGGUGCCAAUCGGAUGCGGACAAGGUUGA
rnacentral:rRNA from 1 species